UAGGGAAUCUUCCGCAAUGGACGCAAGUCUGACGGAGCAACGCCGCGUGAGUGAAGAAGGAUUUCGGUUCGUAAAACUCUGUUGUUAGAGAAGAACAGCGCAUAGAGUAACUGUUAUGCGUGUGACGGUAUCUAACCAGAAAGCCACGGCUAACUACGUGCCAGCAGCCGCGGUAAUACGUAGGUGGCAAGCGUUGUCCGGAUUUAUUGGGCGUAAAGCGAGCGCAGGCGGUCAAUUAAGUCUGAUGUGAAAGCCCCCGGCUCAACCGGGGAGGGUCAUUGGAAACUGGUUGACUUGAGUGGAGAAGAGGAGAGUGGAAUUCCAUGUGUAGCGGUAAAAUGCAUAGAUAUAUGGAGGAACACCAGUGGCGAAGGCGACUCUCUGGUCUGUAUCUGACGCUGAGGUUCGAAAGCGUGGGUAGCAAACAGG
rnacentral:rRNA from 1 species